rnacentral:rRNA from 1 species
GACGAACGCUGGCGGCGUGCUUAACACAUGCAAGUCGAACGGAAAGGCCCUGCUUUUGUGGGGUGCUCGAGUGGCGAACGGGUGAGUAACACGUGAGUAACCUGCCCUUGACUUUGGGAUAACUUCAGGAAACUGGGUCUAAUACCGGAUAGGAGCUCCUGCUGCAUGGGGGGGGUUGGAGAGUUUCGGCGGUUGGGGAUGGACUCGCGGCUUAUCAGCUUGUUGGUGGGGUAGUGGCUUACCAAGGCUUUGACGGGUAGCCGGCCUGAGAGGGUGACCGGCCACAUUGGGACUGAGAUACGGCCCAGACUCCUACGGGAGGCAGCAGUGGGGAAUAUUGCACAAUGGGCGGAAGCCUGAUGCAGCAACGCCGCGUGCGGGAUGACGGCCUUCGGGUUGUAAACCGCUUUCGCCUGUGACGAAGCGUGAGUGACGGUAAUGGGUAAAGAAGCACCGGCUAACUACGUG